rnacentral:rRNA from 2 species
UACAGAGGGUGCAAGCGUUAAUCGGAAUUACUGGGCGUAAAGCGUGCGUAGUCGGUUAUCUAAGUCAGGUGUGAAAUCCCCGGGCUCAACCUGGGAAUUGCAUUUGAUACUGGAUAGCUAGAGUUCGGCAGAGGGAAGUGGAAUUUCUGGUGUAGCGGUGAAAUGCGUAGAUAUCAGAAGGAACAUCAGUGGCGAAAGCGACUUCCUGGACCAGAACUGACGAUCAGGCACGAAAGCGUGGGGAGCAAACAGG